rnacentral:lncRNA from 1 species
CCCCGGCGGUGGGUCUCUGCGGGGAGCCGAGGCCGGGGGGGGCCCUUUAGCUGGGAGCCGGGCGAGCCGCAUCGGGAGCCGCUGUUUUCUUCCCCUCCUUCCUUCGCCUUUCUUCUCCUCCCUCCUCCUCCUCCUCCUCACCAAAACCGGGAGAGGAGGCGUGUUCGCAGAGCCUUGCUGCACCGGUUUUGCUUGGUUCGCUGUUGCCGGGUUUGGUUCGCAGGGUGAUUGGGCUGCGGGAUUUUUUGUGUGCUUUCUUCUUCUUCUUCUUUUUUUUUUUUUUUUUCUCCCUCCCUUUUUCCUUUCCCUUUUCUCCCUCCCUCUCCCGUGGCCCAUCGCAUGCUCGGCUCUGGCUGGAUCCUUUCCUUUAUUUUCGGCGGUGCCGCUCGGAGGGGGAAGGGAGCGCGGGGAUGAGUGCCGCCUGACGCACGGGCACGGCGAGGGGGGCCCGCCGCCAGCCGCAGCCCUCCGCGCCCGCAGGGCGAGGGGCUCGCCGCCGCCCCCUCUUCUCUCCUCGCCCCGCUCCGCCGCAAGGUGUGCGUGCGCGGACGGCAGAACAGAGAGGAGGAGGAAACGCUGCCCUCCGCCUCGCCGGCAGCCGCCGGGCGCCAGGACUGCCGCCGUGCCCCCCCUAUGUAAGGCCCCCCCGGGCGGCCGCAUGGCGAUAGAGCGGCGCCGCGAGGCGGGCGGCGGGGGCCGGCCGCUGCCCGAGGAGAACGG